AAACAAUUAUUAUGUUAUUCUCGAGAUUAAAAAAAAAAUGAGUUAAUAGGGAACCGCGAAUAAUGAUUGGUUUCAUAGAUGCACGAACACGUCAAUAUUCAAAAUAAUUCAACCGAGUUCGAAAUUAUUCCUUAACUAAACCCUCCAAUAAUCAAAUUUUCUGUUUCGACGUGGAAUAAAAUAACGUUACGGCUGAGUUAUGCAAUAAGAUUUCGUGUUUUGGCCGAGUUAUGAGAUACCAUAUCUUAUUAUGAUAUAUCAAACCAGCCACCAAAUUGUUGGUUAUAUUAGUAGCGUGAAGAUGUGCAAUUUGAAAACAGAAAAUAACUUUUAGUUUCAGCAAGUGUCGAUUGACAAAACAUGGUCUGUCAAAACCUCUAGGAAGUAUGUUGUUGGAUAUAGUAUGAUGUUAGACAAAGUAGGCUGUUGGAUAAAGUUUAUAGGAUAUGAUCUACUCUCACGGUUCCACUUUUUGGAAUGUGGUUAUGAUAUGUUAAUUACUUGACUUUCACAACUGUUGGCUCAAGAAAAGCACUUUCAGGGUUUGGCCGAGUUAUAACAAAGUGAUGGCUGAGUUAUGCCUUUAUUAUGGCUGAGUUAUGUUAGAAGAUUUCGAUUGUUCGAACUACAUAAGAGAAAACCAAAUGUUAUUAUGAGAUUUGAAUACAAGCAUUAUUGUUGGUUCGAUCGAUGUCAUCAAAUCAGUCAGAAUAUUGCUGUGUUUUGCUUUUGCUGAGUUUAUCGAGAAACAAUUAUUAUGUUAUUCUCGAGAUUAAAAAAAAAUGAGUUAAUAGGGAACCGCGAAUAAUGAUUGGUUUCAUAGAUGCACGAACACGUCAAUAUUCAAAAUAAUUCAACCGAGUUCGAAAUUAUUCCUUAACUAAACCCUCCAAUAAUCAAAUUUUCUGUUUCGACGUGGAAUAAAAUAACGUUACGGCUGAGUUAUGCAAUAAGAUUUCGUGUUUUGGCCGAGUUAUGAGAUACCAUAUGUUAUUAUGAUAUAUCAAACCAGCCACCAAAUUGUUGGUUAUAUUAGUAGCGUGAAGAUGUGCAAUUUGAAAACAGAAAAUAACUUUUAGUUUCAGCAAGUGUCGAUUGACAAAACAUGGUCUGUCAAAACCUCUAGGAAGUAUGUUGUUGGAUAUAGUAUGAUGUUAGACAAAGUAGGCUGUUGGAUAAAGUUUAUAGGAUAUGAUCUACUCUCACGGUUCCACUUUUUGGAAUGUGGUUAUGAUAUGUUAAUUACUUGACUUUCACAACUGUUGGCUCAAGAAAAGCACUUUCAGGGUUUGGCCGAGUUAUAACAAAGUGAUGGCUGAGUUAUGCCUUUAUUGUGGCUGAGUUAUGUUAGAAGAUUUCGAUUGUUCGAACUACAUAAGAGAAAACCAAAUGUUAUUAUGAGAUUUGGAAUACAAGCAUUAUUGUUGGUUCGAUCGAUGUCAUCAAAUCAGUCAGAAUAUUGCUGUGUUUUGCUUUUGCUGAGUUUAUCGAGAAACAAUUAUUAUGUUAUUCUCGAGAUUAAAAAAAA
rnacentral:sRNA from 1 species